GAACGAACGCUGGCGGCGUGCUUAACACAUGCAAGUCGAACGUGAUCCGGAGCUUGCUCCGGUGAAAGUGGCGCACGGGUGAGUAACGCGUGGAUAAUCUGCCCUGGUAUCUGGGAUAACAUCUCGAAAGGGGUGCUAAUACCGGAUAAGCCUACGGUCUCUUCGGAGUCUGCAGGAAAAGGUGGCCUCUAUUUAUAAGCUACCGUAUCAGGAUGAGUCCGCGUACCAUUAGCUAGUUGGUGGGGUAAUGGCCCACCAAGGCUACGAUGGUUAGCUGGUCUGAGAGGAUGAUCAGCCACACUGGAACUGAGACACGGUCCAGACUCCUACGGGAGGCAGCAGUUUUUUUUUUUACUCAAUGGGGGAAACCCUGACGCAGCAACGCCGCGUGAGUGAUGAAGGCUUUCGGGUCGUAAAG
rnacentral:rRNA from 1 species